rnacentral:rRNA from 1 species
GACGAACGCUGGCGGCGUGCUUAACACAUGCAAGUCGAACGGAAAGGCCCUGCUUUUGUGGGGUGCUCGAGUGGCGAACGGGUGAGUAACACGUGAGUAACCUGCCCUUGACUUUGGGAUAACUUCAGGAAACUGGGGCUAAUACCGGAUAGGAGCUCCUGCUGCAUGGUGGGGGUUGGAAAGUUUCGGCGGUUGGGGAUGGACUCGCGGCUUAUCAGCUUGUUGGUGGGGUAGUGGCUUACCAAGGCUUUGACGGGUAGCCGGCCUGAGAGGGUGGCCGGCCACAUUGGGACUGAGAUACGGCCCAGACUCCUACGGGAGGCAGCAGUGGGGAAUAUUGCACAAUGGGCGGAAGCCUGAUGCAGCAACGCCGCGUGCGGGAUGACGGCCUUCGGGUUGUAAACCGCUUUCGCCUGUGACGAAGCGUGAGUGACGGUAAUGGGUAAAGAAGCACCGGCUAACUACGU